rnacentral:lncRNA from 1 species
UUUUUUUUUUUUUUCCUUUUUUUUUGAGACAGAGUCUCACGCUGUCAUCCAAGCUGGAGUGCAGUGCUGCGAUCUUGGCUCACUGCAGCCUCAACCUCCAGAGCUCAAGCGAUCCUCCCAUCUCAGCCGCCUGAGUAGCUGGGACCACAGGUGCAUGCCACCCCAGCCAGCUAAGCUGGCCUUGAACUCCUGGGCUCAGGUGAGCCUCCCACCUUGGCCUCCCAAAAUGCUGGGAUUUCAGGCACACACCACUGCACCUGGCCUCAUGUAUUGCUUCUAAUUUCCCUGUACGACAUGCGUCUUACCCCAGUCUUAUCCCCAGAGCAUUUUGCCCCCUAACAACAAAAUAGCCUAGUGAGAAUAUGACUGCAUCCCACUGACCUCAAUUAUCGGCCUACGGGGUGAGCAUUCAGGCCAGCUAGGGCCGGCCACGGCUUUUCUGGGCGUCUUUCUUCUGCGUUGCUAAGCUGGGAGACUGUAAAUUUGUGGUUACCAGCACCCACUUUUCCUGUCAUUGGAAAAAGUCAAUCUACAUAAAGCCAAGCAGAGAUGUGAGGUGGAUGCACCAGAUAAAAGCUCCUGGCAAUACUGAAAUCUGCCUUCCAGGCCUCGAUUUUUGGCAGCGCUUCUUUCAGUUUUGUGAGCUUCAUCAGUAUUCUUUUUAGUCCUGCAAACCAACCAACUUCCAUUCUAUUGCUUGAACUGGUUUAAUGUAUAUUUCUAUCCUGUACUGUCUAAGGAGUCCUGAGUAAUAUAGAAAGGAAGCAAAGAUGGAAAAAAGAGCAUACACGAUUGACCAGCAUUAAGGUUAUUUCGUUAGCCAGAACAGCUAAGCAUUGUGACCAGCUUCUUAGAAUGAAGGCACUAUAAAUUGAGAUUAUAAACAACUGUAAAUCUAGUAUAUUUAUUGUGGAAGAUGGCAUGCAAGAAACUGUCAAUCACCAUUAGUACAGAGACAGUGUUCAGAAUUCUCAACAACUCUUUUUGCCCCAAUUAAAGCACCCCAGUCAUGUACUGUAAUAAGAGAUGAAUACUACUUGAAUACUGUUAUUAAGAUUCCAGUAAUCAUAAUGAUCGAAACAAGAUGAUCAUAAAAAAAUUUCUCACUGAGUGUAGGACAUGUCACCUGGGUGGGAUUGAUCCUAGGCUCCAGCAAAGUUAAUCCAGCUCUUUUGCAUAAUUUGAAGAUUUCAGGACAGCUUUUUGAUAAAUUGUUCCCUUGUGUAAUAACAUUCUCUCUCUCUCGCCAUAUAUAUAUAAAUUUAUAAAAUAUGUCAAUCAAUCAAUAAAUAUUUGAGUCCUUAUCUGAAAGUAGGAGAAAAGCUUAUAGACUAUCUGGUAUGACCUGCCUCGCACUGUGAACCUCUCCUUGGCAAGCUUUCUCUCAGAUGGUUAGCGGGCAUCAGCUUGAAAGCUGACAUUGACUGGGCUGUUGCUGUCUCACAGAAUGUCUUACCCGCUGCUGGAGAACCUUAAUUGUCCCUCCUAUAUUGAGUACAAGGUCAGCACAUUAAAUUUGACGUGUAUUAUAUUACCUGGCUCUAGCAGAUAGACAGUUAACACUUCGAAAGACUGGGAAACAAACAGGUUACAUUCCCAAUGAGGAAGUAAAAUCUUUAAGUGAUUAAAAGUUGAGAUGCUUCUGGGAGACCAUACACAUUUAAUCUCCCCUUUGUUUGCAGCCAAAGGCUGGUCACCGGGUGACGGCUAGUUCCC